rnacentral:rRNA from 1 species
AUUAAACGCUGGCGGCAUGCCUUACACAUGCAAGUCGAACGGCAGCACGGGGCAACCUGGUGGCGAGUGGCGAACGGGUGAGUAAAGCAUCGGAACGUGCCCUGGAGUGGGGGGAUAACGUAGCGAAAGUUACGCUAAUACCGCAUAUUCUGUGAGCAGGAAAGCAGGGGAUCGCAAGACCUUGCGCUCUGGGAGCGGCCGAUGUCGGAUUAGCUAGUUGGUGGGGUAAAGGCCUACCAAGGCGACGAUCCGUAGCGGGUCUGAGAGGAUGAUCCGCCACACUGGGACUGAGACACGGCCCAGACUCCUACGGGAGGCAGCAGUGGGGAAUUUUGGACAAUGGGCGCAAGCCUGAUCCAGCCAUGCCGCGUGAGUGAAGAAGGCCUCGG